rnacentral:sRNA from 17 species
CACCGAGUCCGAGGUUCCGGAGCUGCCGGAGCCUGGUGCGAAAGGGA